rnacentral:rRNA from 1 species
AGUCGAACGAUGAAGCUGGAGCUUGCUCCAGUGGAUUAGUGGCGAACGGGUGAGUAACACGUGAGAAAUCUGCCCUUGACUCUGGGAUAACUGCGGGAAACUGUAGCUAAUACCGGAUACUUUCCUCGGUGGGCAUCCACUGGGGAAGAAAGAAUUUCGGUCAAGGAUGAUCUCGCGGCCUAUCAGCUAGUUGGUGAGGUAAUGGCUCACCAAGACGAUGAUGCGUAGCCGGACUGAGAGGUUGAACGGCCACAUUGGGACUGAGACACGGCCCAAACUCCUACGGGAGGCAGCAGUGGGGAAUACUGGACAAUGGGCGAAAGCCUGAUCCAGCAAUACCGCGUGCAGGAAGAAGGCCUUCGGGUUGUAAACUGCUUUUGUACGGAACGAAACGGCGCGCUCUAAUAAAGUGCGCUAAUGACGGUACCGUAAGAAUAAGCACCGGCUAACUACGUGCCAGCAGCCGCGGUAAUACGUAGGGUGCAAGCGUUAAUCGGAAUUACUGGGCGUAAAGCGUGCGCAGGCGGUUUUGUAAGACAGGCGUGAAAUCCCCGGGCUCAACCUGGGAAUUGCGCUUGUGACUGCAAGGCUAGAGUACGGUAGAGGGGGGGUAGAAUUCCGCGUGUAGCAGUGAAAUGCGUAGAUAUGCGGAGGAACACCGAUGGCGAAGGCAGCCCCCUGGACCUGUACUGACGCUCAUGCACGAAAGCGUGGGGAGCAAACAGGAUUAGAUACCCUGGUAGUCCACGCCCUAAACGAUGUCAACUGGUUGUUGGGAAUUUACUUUCUCAGUAACGAAGCUAACGCGUGAAGUUGA